rnacentral:rRNA from 1 species
AUUGAACGCUGGCGGCAGGCUUAACACAUGCAAGUCGAGCGAGCGGCGGACGGGUGAGUAAUGUCUGGGAAACUGCCUGAUGGAGGGGGAUAACUACUGGAAACGGUAGCUAAUACCGCAUACCAUCAGAUGUGCCCAGAUGGGAUUAGCUAGUAGGUGGGGUAAUGGCUCACCUAGGCGACGAUCCCUAGCUGGUCUGAGAGGAUUACCAGCCACACAGGAACUGGGACACGGUCCAGACUCCUACGGGAGGGAGCAGGGGGGAAUAUGGCACAAUGGGCGGAAGCCUGAUACAGCCAUGCCGCGUGUGUGAAGAAGGCCUUCGGGUUGUAAAGCACUUUCAGCGAGGAGGCGUUACUCGCAGAAGAAGCACCGGCUAACUCCGUGCCAGCAGCCGCGGUAAUUC